ACCUAAACUAAGCCCAGGUGCUGCAGAAGUGACGGGCCUGUGCUUACCCAAGAUAGGAUCUUCUUCUCUUGCACACUGUACUGACAUGAUUCUCAUGACUCUUGCUUGGAGAGAUCUGGAUGAGGAGUCAGGGGACCUCUGAUUUUGCCAGCCCCUGCUAG
rnacentral:ribozyme from 2 species